rnacentral:rRNA from 1 species
UACGAAGGGGACUAGCGUUGUUCGGAAUCACUGGGCGUAAAGCGCACGUAGGCGGAUGAUCAGUCAGGGGUGAAAUCCCGGAGCUCAACCCUGACGUAGCUUCUUGAUACUGUCGAUCUGGAGUAUGGAAGAGGUGAGUGGAAUUCCGAGUGUAGAGGUGAAAUUCGUAGAUAUUCGGAGGAACACCAGUGGCGAAGGCGGCUCACUGGUCCAUUACUGACGCUGAGGUGCGAAAGCGUGGGGAGCAAACAGG